rnacentral:lncRNA from 1 species
UAAAUGAUUUGUCCCGUGUUACAACUCCCAUCACCCUUGGAGAGUAAUUAAGUAUCCUGAAAAACAACAAUGCAAAGUAAAGUUGCUUUAUAUUCCAAAAAUGGUGUUAUGAAAUAACCUAAUGUAUAGAAGAAACACAAGAGGGAGUUCAGAGUUUAAAUCUUAACAACUUAGCAGUAACUUAGUAAUCAAGGAGAUCUUUCGAAUUUCUCAUGCACCUUAUAAACUACAACUACAAAUCUUUAAUUCACCCCUACGCCAAAAUCAGCGAUUCAUCAAUUAAAAUAGAGAGUUAACGAUAAUAAGAUCUGCAUCUCCAAAUCAUUAAGAACCUCUAAUUAGACACACCUGCAUAAAUUAUGUUAGGAUCAAAUGAAGCUCACAUCAAUUAAAAUUCUGAGAACAUCAGUUCAUUAUAAGAAACAAAACAUUAUGAUAAGCAUCAAAUAAAGACAUAAUAAACAACAACAUUGAACAAAUAAUUGAAACUAAGGAAACAAGAGAUGCAGAAGAGAGCCAACAUUCUAGUUCCAUGUCUCUUAAAUUACCUAAAUUCUUGUUGACUGCUAUAACCAAUUUACCGCUGUUGUUUUCCCUAAAUCUGUAACUAAAAAAGACACAGAAAUUAGAGACUUCACAAACAUAUAGCUACAGUAAAAAACUUAACUUCACAAAAGAAAAAAAUUUGAGAAAACAAACUGAAAAG